GUAAUAUCACCUCUUUGAUUUACCAAAAAAAAAUGUUGUCACGCACAAAGAUCUGAAUGCAGUAAAAAGGUUAACUAAUAUUCAGUAGUACUGGUAUUCUGCUUCUACCACCAGCACAGCAUUGCUCAAACGAACUACCUUUCCUGCAUUUUAGGUACCACUAAUACGACAUAGACUGUGCCUCUCAGCUAACUAUGCUGACCAUUUGCUCCUCUCAGUAUUAGGUUCCUAAGCCAGAAUUCAAUUUAUGCUUCACUUACUCACUAUACUUAAGAAAUAGAAUGCUAUUACAAUCACUGAUGUUGUAUCUUCUUCUAACUAGACCACCUUUUUCUUGUGCACCAUAAAGACCACCAAAGCAGAUUUGGGAGGUAGUACUCCCAUGCUGUUCAAGACAUUUACAGGUAAGGAAUUGCUGGAUUCGAGCGCCAAGGUAAAUCCCCUCCGCUCCAUUCCUUCCUGGCAUUUCCUAGGUAAAGUAAGACCAUCCCUCCCAAUAUUUGUUUUAA